AUGAAAAUGAACGUAGCCUAGCGAACGGGUGACGUUUUAGGCCUAUCGUCCAGUAAAUUUGAAAGCAAUUAAGUAACUAAGCUGAAGGAAAAUGAAGAGGAGCUAUCCAUCUGGGAGCGAGAAGAAGAAGAAGAAAAAAGAAGAAGAAGCAAAAAGAAAGAAAGACAGUGGAUCAUUGCUUAAAUUUCUAACAAAACAGACGGAUAAAGUGCCCCUACCAAAUGCUGAUGAAAACCUUCCAGCAACAUCCACAUCCAGUGGGAUAGUGGCCACUCAACCUGUUGGUUGUCAUGAAGAGCAGGAAGAGACACCAGAGGCACAUCAAGCACCCAUUCCAAGUUAUGAUACUGAUGACUUUCCAGCAACAUCCACCUACAGUGGGAUAGUGGCCACUCACCCUGUUGGUUGUCAUAAUGAGCAGGAAGAGACACCAGAGGCAUAUCGAGCACCCAUUCCAUGUUAUGACACUGAUAACUUUCUGGCAACGUCCACCACCAACAGGACAGGAAUUACUGUUUUUUUUAUUUUAUUAUACAUUCAUUUUAAUUUAUUAAUUUAUUCUUUACUUUUAUUCUUUUAUAUUUUCCAAAGUAACAAGGUUGUUCAUGUUUAGAACAUUUGGAAUAAAAAAAAGGUUUUAUUUAAUACAUUUUUCGUUGGUGUCAGAUUAUUUAUAGCCUAGCAUAAUGGUGAUGAACACUGGUCGGUAGGGCCCCCUAGGAUUUUUUGCUUGGGGCCCCCACAGACUCCAGAAUCGC